rnacentral:rRNA from 1 species
UAGUAUGGGGAUCUGCCCGAUAGAGGGGAAUAACUACUGGAAACAGUGGCUAAUACCGCAUAAUGUCUACGGACCAAAGCAGGGGCUCUUCGGACCUUGCACUAUCGGAUGAACCCAUAUGGGAUUAGCUAGUAGGUGGGGUAAAGGCUCACCUAGGCGACGAUCUCUAGCUGGUCUGAGAGGAUGAUCAGCCACACUGGGACUGAGACACGGCCCAG